rnacentral:rRNA from 1 species
GUUACUCUAGGGAUAACAGGCUGAUCUCCCCCAAGAGUUCACAUCGACGGGGAGGUUUGGCACCUCGAUGUCGGCUCAUCGCAUCCUGGGGCGGUAGUACGUCCCAAGGGUUGGGCUGUUCGCCCAUUAAAGCGGUACGCGAGCUGGGUUCAGAACGUCGUGAGACAGUUCGGUCCAUAUCCGGUGUAGGCGUUAGAAUAUUGAAAGGAUUCUUCUCUAGUACGAGAGGACCGAGAAGAACAUACCUCUGGUGUAUCAGUUAUUGUACCAACAGUAAACGCUGAGUAGCUAUGUAUGGAAUAGAUAACCGCUGAAAGCAUCUAAGUGGGAAGCUGACCUUAAGAUUAAUAUUCUUAUCAUAUGUAAGAAUAAGGCCACGGUAAGACUAACCGUUUAUUAGGUAUCAAGUGUAAAUGUAGUAAUAUAUGAGCUGAGAUAUGCUAACAGGCCGAAGACUUGAAUU